AGGCGCCCCCAAACGCGAACCCGGGACCUCCGCGCCCGCCGCUGUGGGGAGGGUGCGGCCCGAGACGCUUGGAGGGCGGCGGGCGCCGGAAUCGCAGCCUGCUGUGGCCACUUGCCCGCACUCUUGCCUGACUGACCAUUUUCCGCUCUGGCUACUGGGCCUCCCACGGAGUUCUGUCCUCAGGGUUCGUCAAUUACCUGGAAUUGCGUAACCGCCCGUUACAGGCCAGACCGAGGCCGAGAGCGAUUUCUCCAGACAACAGUCUGGAAUUCCUCAAGGAGCGUACCCUCUAGUUUUCACGAUAGGAUAAAGGGCUUGAGAGAGCACUGAGGAGGAGUCACUUAUUCUGCCUGAGGGGAAGUCAGGUUGCUAUCUGAAGUUGGCCUUGCGGCUGCUGUCCCAUUUGCGGGAGCCGUAGCCGCAGGUGACACCUGAGCUCUCGAAAUGUGGCUGGUCUGAAUAGAGAUGUGUUCCAAGAUUUAGAAGAUUUAAUUUAAAAAGUGAUAUUUUGGGUAUAUUGGGUUAAAUAUAUUAAAAUUAAUUUCACCUGGUUUUAACUUUUUAAAUGUGGCUAUAAAUAUGGCUUGCAUUAUAUUUCUAUUGGAUAGUGCUACCUUGCAGCAUUAAGAUGGAUUUGACUAGAAAAGAUGAGAAGGGCCUACAAACAACAGGGUCUCACCAUGUUGCCCAGGCUGGAGUGCAGUGGCACAAUCACAGCUCACUGCAGCCUCGACCUCCUGGGCUUGAGCGAUCUUGCUGCCUCAGCCUCCUGAGUAACUGGGACUACAUGAGUAGCUGGGACUACAGGCUGUAAAUGAGGAGAUUCAGCAUGGGAGUGAUCACGCUGUACUGCAAGGAGAAGAUCAGCUCUUGAAUGGAUCCUGAAUUUGGCAUGAGAUAGCGGAGUAAUCCGGAGCCAUAAAAGAAAAUCACUGCAGUGAGGUGGGAGGAGCAGGUGGAGAAGGCUUUGCUUCUGCCUGUAGUGGAGCUGAUCCUCAGGAUGGUGGACAAAAUGCAAAUAUAAGACAAGAAUAUCAUGAGAAAAUUUCCAAAGAAAUGCAGGAAGCUGGAGCAGAGCAGGGUGGUAAAACUUGCUGACACAUCAGAGCAAGACAAAGGAUAGAGAGAGGGCAGCUCACAGCUGAAGUGGUGGAUAUUUUGAGCCUCACAGAAGUCUAAAUUGAGAGCUACAAGGAUAUUGAUGAGGGCAUCCAGAAAAGCCAAGCCCCAUGAGCCCCCCACCAGCCCUGAACACAGCUGUCUGUUCAUCACUUGGCCAUAGAGCAAAGGAGAGCUGAUGGCAACAUAGCGGUCAUAGGCCAUCACAGCAAGCAGGGAGGAUUCAGUGCCCCCAGUGGCAAACACAAAGAAGACCUAAGCCAUGCAGCCCUCUACUGAGAUGGUUUUCUUCUCAGACAGGAGGUUCUCCAACAGCUUAGGUGCAGUGACAGAGGAAUGGCAGAGAUCCAAGAAGGACAAUUGUCCCAGGAAGAAGUACAUGGGUGUGUGGAGGCAAGAAUCAGCAUUAAUCACCACCAGCAGCAGCAGGUUUCCCAUCACAGUCAGGAGGCAAAUCACCACGAACAGCACAAAGAGCAGAGUCUGGGUCUGGGGGCCAGCUGACAGCCCGAGGAGGACAAACUCAGGGACAACACUGCGGUUUCUCAUUGCCUUCAGUAUUUUAUUUGGAAUAAGAUAAAUAAAUUGAGUGAAGCCUCUUCUUAUGCCUAACAAAUAUUUAAGUGUUUUAACCCUCUUCUCUAUUCACAAAUUUUCUUGCUUACCUAAACAUUCAUAUGCAGAAAUGAUAAACUACUCUGUCCCUAUAUUUCCUAAACCUGUGAUCAUCUUUUCUGCAAGACCCCAACCUUAGAUUCUCUCUCUCUCUACUUUUAUGUUCUUUCUUUAAUGUUUCAGUGUUUGUUGUUGCUGUUGUUUUAUUAUUAAGGCUACUAGAGAGUGUUUGUAAACUAUUGCUAAUGAUCUAAUAGGGAGAGAUUGAAGGAAAAAUAAGAUUAAAAUGGCAGAAAUGGUGUCUCUGAGGGUGUUAGAGCUGAAGUAGAGCAUGGCUUUAGGUGGGAGCAUGUUUGCUUCAUCCUUCUGACAGCAUGAGGCGAGCAGAUUUGGUGUUGGGGAGGAAGCAAUUUCCAUCCACUGACUUUUACUUUUUCAAUAAAUACUUAAGUGAGGUCAGUCAUGGAAAGUGAAAAGGGAUUGUGAUUGGAGAGUUGCAGAGUACAGAGAAAGGGAAAUAAUCAGAGAGAAGGCAGCACAGAGAGACCUCCAAUGCUAUGUAAGUGAUCAUGAGAAACUGUUGGUCAAUAUAGGAACAUACUCCAGUCAUAAUCUCCAUGCCCCGUUUAAUCUAUAUGUGAUCUAUUCAGAUUCAGGUUCAGCUCUUGUCUGUACCCUCGUGCAUUUGUAAACAUAGAUUACCUACUAACCCUAAAGUGUGGUCUUCUUUUUUGCCUACUCUGCAGUGACAGCCCAGAUUAAAAUCACAGACUCAGGAGAACCCUUCAGCUCUACUGACUACACCAUUUUGGCCCUUCCUAUUCUGCUCUAUCUUUUGUGUUCAUACUGCAAAACAGGCACAUUCAUUCUCAAAGGACUUAUGGUUUCUCUCCCACUGUUUAUCCAAACACCGCCCAGCAUUAAUGCUAUUCUUUGGAAUCGAGUCCAUACUACCUGCAUUUCUUACCCAGUUUAACAAUAAACAGCACAGAAUUAAAGAAAAACUUUUUCAAAUCCAGAGGUCCAGACUAAUAAGUUUGAAUAUCAAUGUGAGAAUUAUGAAGUUGGGAGUUUGAAAAUUCCUGUUGGAUAUAGAUCUCUUCCUUGAUUCCUAAAAGAGGAAAAUAAAAGGUUAAAUAGUGUGUAUUAUUUCUGAAAACCUAAAUACUUCUGUCAUGUGGGGAAUGCAUUUUCCAUAUUAUUUUAAUUGUUUUUCUUUUACUCACCAGUGUAGCUCUAGCUAGAGCAACCUGGAUUCUUUUUGAGAACAUCACAUCAUUGGCAGAAGAUGCUGGAAAGUCAGGGAAUCAAAUCAAGAAAUGCAGACACAGAACCGCAUCACUCAUUAUAAUUUGGAGGGCAGCAAAAAGAAAGGUCUCCUCUUUUCCACUUGUCUCCAGAUGGAGCCCCAUUCACCAGCACUAGAAACUUAAAUCGUGGGGGGAAUUUCUCCUUUAGAAAUGAAGGUCAAAGAGUGAAAAUCUUACAAAGGACAUUUUCACAAAGGACAAAGUUGGAAAUUCUAGCCUGUCAGGGCCUAGACUUCCUCACAGAAAGAAAAAUACUGCGUUAGCAUUAUUCAAGGGGUCACAGGAAUAAAUAAAGUCAUGUCUUAUUUUUUUUAACCCGCUGCUGCAAUUUCACUAUUCUCACUGCUUCAUCUAUUCAAACUCUGAAUCCAAAUUUAGAAUGGAAACAGCUCUGAGAAUGCUACCACUAUGGUUAUUGAUACAAUCAGUUGGAGUCAGCUGACUAGAUCUUUCCCAAAAAGGCCUGCCUGAGAGGAACUUUUUUAAGAAUGAGACAUACAAAAGUAUCUAGUACUGUGGCAGUCACAAAGGUUGCUCCAAAUAUAUUAUUUAAAAAUACAAAUGAAUGGCCGGGCGCAGUGGCUCACGCCUGUAAUCCCAGCACUUUGGGAGGCCGAGGUGGGCGGAUCACGAGGUCAGGAGAUGGAGACCAUCCUGGCUAACACAGUGAAACCCUGGCUCUACUAAAAAUACAAAAAUUAGCCAGGCGUGGUGGCUUGGGCCUGUAGUCCCAGCUACUCGGGAGGCUGAGGCAGGAGAAUGGCGGGUGAACCCGGGAGGCAGAGCUUGCAGUGAGCCAAGAUCGUGCCACUGCACUCCAGCCUGGGCGACAGAGCGAGACUCCGUCUCUUAAAAAAAAAAAUUAAUACAUUGAUGAACGGAUGAGUAUGUGAAUGAAUAUGGCUCAGGAAGAGAAUAGUCUAGGGCUUUGCUGCUCACCGAGAACAGACCUAAUUGGGAGCCAGUCGAGGAUUUUAGACUCCCUGGGCUUGCAUUAAGCCAGAUAUAGUAAAGGUAAUAGAGAAGAAUUUCACCAACUGGACAGGUUUGCCCCAAAGCAGUGUGUUUUGCUCUGUUCUGCACUUUCGCAUACCUCAGAGUAUAUAAUUAUAGGGGAUAUCCAUAAUUAAAGAUAUGGUUAGUUUCUGAAUCUCAUGUUUGGAGUUCUGGGAGAGGGUUCUUUUUGAGUCACAAAGUGCCCAGAGUCUAUCGCUGAAGUCCUCAUCUCCUCCCACCCCUUAUAGAGAGCUCUCAAGUAUUAGCCUCCCCAAACUUCCAGGUUUCUGGCAUAAUGCGGGCUUUCAGCACCAGAAACAAGGAAUAUAGCAAGAUAUAGGAAAGAGAUCUUGUCUCAGUUGUGCCAUUUGUACAACGGAAUCAAGCAAUAACUACCCUGCAAAGUGGUGAGGUCUUAAUUGCUAACUUGAGUAUAGUGCUGAAGACAAUUGAGGGGCUGAAGAAUCAUCAAAUUCUCUUUUCUUCACUCCCAAUCCAAGUGUUUCAUUUUCCCAAAAGGAGGAAGCGAAGUGAUGUUGAGGAGCAGACCAAAACAUCUUAGGUAACACAAAUGGACACCAUAUUGAGAGAGUGGGGAGGGUACCCUUAAAUACCUCUUAAAUACCAUGAGAACAAAGAUCAGAUGAGAGGACUGACAGGGAAAGGAAGUGCCUGAUGGAAGAAUGGCAGGAAGUAGUAGAAACAGAGGGGAACAAAGUAGCAGGGAAAAUCCUGAAAGGACAGACGGAAAACAUAACCAUACUUCUGUCUUUUCCUGGUGCACAAUGUAUCCUGUUUUUCUGAGUUGGUGGGUGUGCCUCUGAACUUGGGAGAAAUUCACAGGCGAGAAAAUGUACCACAACUGUCUGAUCUUGUGAGCUGACAUUGUUUUUUAAGACCUUUUUUGCAUAAAGAGAAAUACAUAAGCUCAUUCCUCAAAAGCUCCAGGAAGUAAAGACUUUAAAAAGCUUUUCUGAAGUUUGACAGCAUUUUUGCUCUUAUGCUGUAACAACUCCAAAACUACAAAGAAAGGGAAACUAGAAACCUUCAAAUUCUUAACAGCAACUUCUUUCAUACUUCCCCUGGCAUAAUUACACAAUCAUUUCUCUAUGCCUGUUAAUAUAGUACUAAGAGCAUCAUGCUAACAAAGGAGGCGCAGGUCUAGCCAUUCAGAAGGGCUGCUGGGUUAAGUUGGCCAAAGGGAUGGCAAAGUAUGAUCUGAAAACCCUGGGGGCAGCUGGGCCCAUCCUGAUUAGAAAGCUCAGCAUGAAGCAAACACUAAGCUCAUUAGCUAAAAAUGGUUACUAGCUGAUUCCACCGGGAAUUCCCAUUGAAGCUAAGUGACUCACGGCUUAUUUUUAGAUCAUCUUGCCAAUAUUGCCAUGUAUUUAAUUACUAGAUAUAUUAAAAAUAGUGAUUAUUAUACAUAUGCUGUUAUUAUUAUUAGGCAAUCAAUAAUAAUUCAAAUCUACCCACAUAUUUAACUUUUGGUUUUUUGCUCAACUUUUCUGCGUCUAGAACUGAAAAUCUUAAUAGCUGAAACUGAGAUUUCAGUGGAUACAUUUGACACAAAAUAGACAAAGCAGAAGAAAUU
rnacentral:lncRNA from 10 species